rnacentral:rRNA from 1 species
AUUGAACGCUGGCGGCAGGCUUAACACAUGCAAGUCGAGCGGGGUGAUGGUGCUUGCACUAUCACUUAGCGGCGGACGUGUGAGUAAUGCUUAGGAAUCUGCCUAUUAGUGGGGGACAACAUCUCGAAAGGGAUGCUAAUACCGCAUACGUCCUACGGGAGAAAGCAGGGGAUCACUUGUGACCUUGCGCUAAUAGAUGAGCCUAAGUCGGAUUAGCUAGUUGGUGGGGUAAAGGCCUACCAAGGCGACGAUCUGUAGCGGGUCUGAGAGGAUGAUCCGCCACACUGGGACUGAGACACGGCCCAGGCUCCUACGGGAGGCAGCAGUGGGGAAUAUUGGACAAUGGGGGGAACCCUGAUCCAGCCAUGCCGCGUGUGUGAAGAAGGCAUUAUGGUUGUAAAGCACUUUAAGCGAGGAGGAGGCUCUUUUGGUUAAUACCCAAGAUGAGUGGACGUUACUCGCAGAAUAAGCACCGGCUAACUCUGUGCCAGCCGCCGCCGUAA